GGAAACUACGGGACAGUAGCGACGGUAAUACUUAGGGUGGGAGCGUUAAUCGGAAUUCUUAGGGGGAAAGCGUGCUCAUGCGGUUUUGUAAGUCAGAGGUGUAAUCCCCGGGCUUAACCUGGGAACUGCGUUUGAAACUACAAUGCUAGGGUGUGGCAGAGGGGGGUGGAAUUCCACGUGUAGCAGUGAAAUGCGUAGAGAUGUGGAGGAACACCGAUGGCGAAGGCAGCCCCCUGGGUUAACACUGACGCUCAGGCACGAAAGCGUGGGGAGCAAACAGGAUUAGAUACCCCGGUAGUC
rnacentral:rRNA from 1 species